AUUGAACGCUGGCGGCAUGCCUUACACAUGCAAGUCGAACGGUAAUAGGUCUUCGGAUGCUGACGAGUGGCGAACGGGUGAGUAAUACAUCGGAACGUGCCUAGUAGUGGGGGAUAACUACUCGAAAGAGUGGCUAAUACCGCAUGAGAUCUACGGAUGAAAGCAGGGGAUCGCAAGACCUUGUGCUACUAGAGCGGCCGAUGGCAGAUUAGGUAGCUGGUGGGAUAAAAGCUUACCAAGCCGACGAUCAGUAGCUGGUCUGAGAGGACGAUCAGCCACACUGGGACUGAGACACGGCCCAGACUCCUACGGGAGGCAGCAGUGGGGAAUUUUGGACAAUGGGCGAAAGCCUGAUCCAGCAAUGCCGCGUGCAGGAUGAAGGCCUUCGGGUUGUAAACUGCUUUUGUACGGAACGAAAAGCCCCGGGUUAAUACCCUGGGGUCAUGACGGUACCGUAAGAAUAAGCACCGGCUAACUACGUGCCAGCCGCCGCCGUAA
rnacentral:rRNA from 1 species